UUGCCUUGCCUGCCUUGCCUUUUAGGCAGUUCCCCCCAAAAAAUAGGUACAACUCCAUGGCUUCAAACUUCAUUUUUCAGCUACGACCAUGCUGCUCUCACAAACUCUCCAUGGUGACAACCAAUAGAGCAUGCAAAAUCCUUGUUUAAAGAUGGCGCACCGCACCACUUUUGCACCUGUUAUCAACUGCACACGCAAUGAUAGUAGAUCACCCGCAACACGCCCACUAAUAACACGUGCAAUUUUUUAGUUUGCACACGCAGUUAAGCGCCCUUUAUUUGGGAUCUUCCUAGAUCAAGCCCAACGGCUAAAACCCACAGGAUCCGGAACGGCAGGCGGAUCAAAUACGCAAGCAUUACAAUCAAAGGGGCAUCAGUGGCUUGAGUGAAUACACCUUGAAGUACAACACUGCAUUGCGUGGCAGGCAGAUGCAUCAAAAUAUCUCUAUAGUUUUCCUACCCUAGAUUUAUUUCUUCCUGUCAGACUUAAAAAACAGAGUUCACUGUCAUUUGUCCUCUGAGGCCAGCUUUACGAGAGUGUUAGCAGUCACGUUACAUCUGUACAAGAAUAAUACUUUUCAGCUGUUUUGUCUGAAGUCUCAAGACCAAAAAGAAAAGAACCAGAACAUCUCUACUUGAUGUAUUACUCCAAACUGCUCACCUCUACUACAAACUUGAAAUGGAGGAUGGGUAAACAUUUUGCCAGAAGUUUGUUUGCACUUUGUAAGUUCUUCAGUUCUUCACUCAGCAGAGAAAAUUACAGUUUUCUGAGUGUCUGACUGAAAGGACAUGAAUGCGGCGUAAUGGGUUAUAAGUAAAAAGAAAGAAAGAAAAAACACCAACCGAGUGAAAAAUAAUAAUCAAGGCAGCAUUAGGAGAUUGUGUUAUGACGGAAAGGACAGAGAAGAGGAAAGUAGGAUGGAAAAGGUGAAGCAUAAUGGCUCUGACGAAGCGGUGAUUAAGAAAAAGGUCAGAGGAAGAGGAGGAGUGGGGAAACAAGGAGGCGGAGAAACGAGCGUAUUAAAAGAAGAUGAGAGUGAAAAAAGAGAGAGAGGGUGUGAGGAAGUUUGAAGAAAGUCAACACUUUGGCAGAACACAGAGGCACCUUGACAGGUUUUUGAAGGGGCAACAAGACAUUUUCUGGUCCGCAGCCAUUUGCAGCGGCAGUGAGGAGAAAAUGGAAAAUAGGUGUAAAGGAGCAGGAAAGAGGAACUCGUGAAUUAGGAUGCCACUGAGUUAGUGAGGGAGGGAGUGGGGGUGGAGAGAGUAAACAGAUUGGGAGGAGGUGGUGAUGAUAAUGAUGAAAGCUGUGUGAGCGUUAGGGCUGGUGGGAGGGAGGGAUGGAGGGAGGGAGAGAGGCACUGGAAAGAGUGAAGGGAUGCAGAGGAGUAGAAGGGUGGAGGGGGGGGAGUAAUGAUGAUGGUAAGGGAUGAUGAGAUGUGGUUAAAUGAGAGAUGAUUUGCAAGACAAGGAGAGAAGGAGAGGGAACAAUGAGCGCCCUCCACCAGGAUAGCUUUAAGCCUGAAGGAGGAGAGUAGUGAAGGUGCUCGACACAAGAGGACACUGGAAGGAUUGGAGGGAAGGAGCUGAUGGAGGAGAAGCAAGCAGGAGGAGGAGAUGGUAGAUGAGGUGUAUGAGUGCACACAACGUGCUAUUGACUGAAGGCUUACCUCGUUAAUUGCAUAUUCCCUAUGAUUGCACUAUGAACCGCUGAGCUGCAUGAAAAUUACUUUCUCUCACUUUACUUUCAGACAAAGACAGAGAGAGAGAGAGAGAGAGAGAGACAAAGAGAGCGAGAAAGAGAGAAAAUGGGUCUAAGUGACUUAACAGGAAACAGACAAGACAGCUUGUGUAGAAACAGACAGGAGCACAGUUUGAUCUUCUUCCUGUUUUAGUAGAAAUGAUGAGCGUUGAAUUGUGUAAAGAAUAAAAAGAGGAGGGGGAAAAAAGAAAGAAAGAAGUAGUGCACAUACCUGUCACAUUUUUUUCACAGUGAACAUAUAACUCAAAGAUAUUUUCAGCUUAUUCGAUGUAACUUAGUCCAGCCAACAUUGUUGUAAAACUCACACAAUAACUCAAGAUCCAGCUCACGAUGGUGUAAAAGCUUGGUUUAGUAUUCAGUCAAAAAAGUAAACUACAAAUCCAUUUAGUGCUGUAUUAUAGAAAACUUGAAAUCUUAAAAGUGGUGUUUAACAGCUUGACUGAAAUGCUCCAUCACAGAGAAGCAAUGACAUGAACAAUAGAACUAACAGCAGCCACAUCAUGUUUUAAAUCACUAUGUUGUCAUGAACUUUGCUGUACAGCACCAGUAAAGCAGUGUCUGAGAUGUACCGCUGAGACUGUCAGGCAUCCUGUAAAUCCAAAACUCUUAAAGGCUUUUAAAAUUCCCCAAAUUCUCUGCCAUGGAGAUGGCUUGUUAUCCAAAGCGAUGGUUCAACCAUCCUCUCUGUAAUCUACUGGUCUUUUCACACACUUGAAGAUCGCUAUCCUGGCUUGUUAAUGCAUAGUUUGUGGCUUCAAUGCAGCAGCUAUUUCCUCUGCAGCUGUAGUGAAUGUUGAAUGUGUUCAGAAUGUGUUCGGCUAUUAUUUCGAUGUUGAACCAAACACAGCUUCACUGCUACCACCUCGCCAUACAAUCAUAUUGCAUUUACAGGAAGUUGCUGCUGAAUGUUUUCACUCUCUAGUUUAAAGGAACUCUGUUACACUUAUUCUCACCUUUCAUCCUGUCAGUCUGGGAUGCUAAGUGAGCAGCUUUGCCUAAUUUAGGCUUCUGUGGUAACCUUCAUUUCAGCACUAUAAGGCCUUCACUGAAGGCCGCUUUUCCACUUACAUUCACUAAGUGAAACCUUGUGGGUGUUACUUCUUACAGAGCUAAGUUCUCAUGAAAUGACUGAAAAGUUUUGCCUUUACAGAAAAUAUCUGAGCUCCCCAACUUGCCAUUAGUUAUGGUUACAGUUAGGUUGUUGUCCUGAAAAUGUGAAACUAGGGUUACCAUACGUUAGGACUGGGGGAUUAUAUGAUCCUGAUUAAUGAUCGUGAUAAAUUUCAGUUCGAUCACUGUGAUCAGCUGUGAGCAUAUUUACUCGGAGCCAACGGCCAAUCAGAGUUAUGCUUUUCCUGCUCACUUCUGUAAGUUGCCGGAGAGGAAAACAAGGUAAGUAAACAGAAUGACCAAAUGUGGAGCUAAACGCAGAGCUGAGGGCAGCAAAGUAGAUGGCAGCCAUGACUUUUAUGCCAUUGUUGAGCAGAAAAGUUAUUCAACGUUGGUUUUGUGGCGGUGGUUCCGGUAUCUCCAAAGUGACGUCGAGCUAUUAACACGGUGUGCAAGGUAUGUCGGCGGUUGGCGCCCUCACAAACUGGCAACACAACAAAUCUGAAGAAGUACGUCCUGAGUGAUUAUGUGGGAAGCAUGAAAAUGCGAGCGCAAUCUGCUCAGCCUGCCACUGCUGAUGGCACUCAUAGCAUUAGCAGUUUAACCACAACUAGCAGUGCUGCCACCAGACCAAAGCAGUAAUCAAUAGUAUCAUCUACAUUAACACCAUCGUAUGUUUACAGUUUAAGGCAUCUUCAUUUUUGAUUUAUUUAUUUGGGUCUGGCAUACCUGCAAAAACACCCAGGACUGUAAACUAGUUCACUGUAUUAUUAAGUAUUCAUCCACAUUUGUUGUAUUGUUGAGUUAAAAUGUUUUUUUAUAUUUUUCUAAGUUUAUCUUAUUCAAUUUGCUUCAUUUACUUUGUAUGUGAAUAAAAUGUUGGACUAAUCUCUAGUUUCUUUAGCUUUUAAUACAGAUGCUUUAAAACUGGCAGUUUAAAAAAAAUAAAUAAAUAAUAAUAAUAAUCGAGAUCCGACAAUAUGACAAAACAAAAGAUAUUGGGAUCAUUGUUUUUUGCCAAAUUGUCCAGUCCUACUGUAUGUUCUCUUUUACCCAGACAUGACCUCUUUUGGCAGCCUGUCUGGGGGGAGUUUAUAAAAUCCUUCAAAUGUCCAGGGUUUUUUUUAUGUAUCUACAUGAGGCCUGUCUUUUGGAGAAUUCAGAAUAUGUGUUUAACUGAGUUAGACUGACCUGAAAAACCCUGAAAUUUUGCGCGUACAACUCCGCCCUGCAUAGGAGUUUCCUCUUGUUGGGGCUUCAGAAUAUGGUCACCCUAAUAAAACCUACCCUCUGUUUUCUGGUGUCCUCCUCUUUGGGAAGAGAAAAUGGCUGUGACUUUCCCUCACAACCAAAACAACACUUACAGGCAAUUUCCACAGACAUACCGGAUCAACAAAGUGCAGAGCAGAGAAAAUAACUGAGCAGUGACAAAGACUCUUCAGCUUCCGGAUGGGCGUCUCUCUUUGACAGAGUUUCCAGGUGGGCUCAUUCUCAAAACAGGCUAUUCAGAGUACCCAGACAUCACAUCAAGGGAUUACAGCACCAUCUGUGUAUCUCAUGGAGAACUUUGCCAUGGUUUUGUAUAGUUAUUCAACAUAUAACAAAACAUUUCUACUCUGCUUACAUUUCACAUUUUAGCCACUGGCUGCUAACGCUGACUUACUCACAUGUUUGCUUCAGUUAGGAUCAGGACAUAUAAGGUUGUCAAGUGCACCAAGUGGUGGUCUGCUUUUUGAUUAUGCAUGUUUAAAACAAUCUUUUUUUUUCAUGCAGCAGUGACAGUUUCUCCAAGGUUAAAGGUACUGCAUGUAUUUAGCUUCCUCUUCACCCUCUUUGCUUUACUUGAGACUUUUAUACAUGUGUAGCCUUUUUCACAAGCAAAGAUCAUAUUGGUGUCUUUAAACACUUGUCAUGUUGCAACUCAACUGUACUAAAGAACUUUUAUCGAUGUAUUCUUGUGAAUUAAUGAUUUGAUAUGAUGGCGCGACUCAAUCUGAGAUCUAAUGUCGCAUUGCAGGGCCCACAAGACUUGCUAGCACAAUCAGUCAGCUUAAGUGUUAUUGAUUUUUGGGGUUUGAACAAUACAGAGCUACCGUAGUUUCUCAGUUGAGGGGCGGUUUCACUCCUCAUCUUUACAUUCACACCCAAUAACAGAAAAGGCAAAAGAAAAUUAGAGUAAGGAAAUAGAGUAGGGAACCAGGUGAGAAGUGGGGAAUGAGAGGGUUGGGAUGAAACCACAGCUGUCUGCUUCCAGGGCUGUAACCUCUGAACAUGAGGGGAACAAUUUAACCACUUCAUUCCUUCAGUGACAGAGUUCAUUUAAAGUCAUGGAGCAGACAAGUUGGGCAGAUUAAACUAAUUACCAAAUUGCAGAACAUCUACAUUUUCUGUGCAAUGAAAAAAAAUAUAUAACAUGCUGUCAUAUACACUGAAUCCUGGUGAACACUGCAUGUAAUCUGCACUGCACUGCAUGUUGUCCCUGGGGAAAUUACAGCAGACAGGUCAUCAGUAGUAGAGCCAUAAUAAGUGGAGAUGAACAUCCAUCUUUUUAUGCAUGUCAUUUAGAUCAAAUGCUAGGUUAUCGUACUGGUGAUCAUAUAUUGACAAACUGUGUAGGUAAAGUCCACUUCUGCUUUAUCUGCAAGCUUAACAGUAAGGGCAGGGUUAUUUUUCAUUAUGUGGACGUCUGUAUCCAGGUGUUUUAUCCCAUCUGAUGUCUGUUGUCUUGAAGAAAGAUGUAUUUCUGAAUGUGAACAUCCUCAAACAAACAUGGCCGAAGGUAAUGAAGAAGACAUUUCUGAGCGGCUCGUUACUGAACGAGGCUCCACAUGAGGGAUUUCCUUCAAGAUUGGGGCUUAGAUGAGCGCAAUCAGGUAUGCUUGACAUCGGACAGUGGAUCUGUUCACUCUGUUCACUCUGUGCAAUAAGAGUUUUCAACAAAUGUUGAAAAUGUUUUCACAUUUGAGACUUGUUUGAUGUCAUUAGUUUCCUCCAUAACCUACCACUCAAACUUAUGCUUAAGUAUAGGGCUACACCUAAUGAUAAUUUUUAAAUUGAUUAAUCAACAGUGUUUGUUUACAUUGCUGAGUAGGACACGGCGCAAGAUAACAGCAAUUCUCCUAGUUAAAUAAAAGCUGCCACACUUUAAAAAUGAGAUUUUUCUUCUGUGGCUCUACCUCAGACUCAUGUGUAUCAGUAUACAUUUGUGCAGCAGAGCUUGCUUGUGUCGAGUAUUAGCAUUAGCGAGCUAUCGUCGGUGAUUACACAGCUGAUUAAUUAGUAAGUUAUAAGACAAAUAAAAGCACAAAACUGAUGCUUUAACUCCGAGCCAAUUGCUUAAAGUGAAUGAAUUAGAUAUGGGAUGCAGAGGAUAUGAUGCAGCGUCCACUGUGGAGUUUGCUGCACCAGAGGUGGGUUAUUUGAUUGCCAGGUCACUACUGUCUCCUUAAAUGUAAGCAGCGUGAUGUUGGAAAUGUAAACUAGGAAGCCAGGAAGAGCACAUGCAUUGAUUGAGAGAAGCUUCUCAUAGAUCAUGCUGAAGUAGGUUUUAAAUCGAUCCCAUUCGGUGGAGUUCGUUUGCUGUCCAUGCCUCCACCGUUAACUUAAGUAGCCAUUGUCUACAUCAUUGUGAGACGCGACAACGAAUUUUUGUAGUCAAUUACGCUGACUAGGUCAACGAAUCGCCCCAGCCCUAGUUAAGUACCUUAUUUGACUAUUCCAACUGGUAUUCCCAAGACAAAAUGAGUCAUUACUAUAGAUUGGAAUUAAAAUAUUUUUUAUUGGGACCUUUAUUUUAUCGUUAUCGCAAGUGAUAAAUUUGAUGGCCCAUAUUGCCCAUCCCUAGUGGCGACAUGUAUGUGAGGUAAAUGUUGAAAUAUUAAAUACUUUCCAAAGAUUUAUAAGAAAAGGAAGACAAAAAUGUAUCUUUCCACUUUUUUCCUUUUAAAAAAAAAUCUAAUUCAGAGAGAGGCACACACACAGGUGUUUCAGAGUGGAUCUAUCAUGUGAUUACUCAAACAAUCAUUGGCUUUGUGGAACAAACAUCUGCCUCCCAAAGUAUUCUGGCUGCAUAAACACCAGGUGCUCUUUGUUGUGGAAAAGCAAUUUAUGCCCAUGAAUACCUGCAGUAUGUUACCAAUGUGAAGCCCACUGAUUUCUUUUAUACUGGAAAUAUUUGUACCAGCAUUCAAUGAGAAUACCUCAAACCCUGCAGAUGAUGGAGGACGCUGAUUUGAUUUAUGAUUAUGAUUCAUGACUGUGGUAUGAUCUCUAUGCAGCACACUCUGGCACACACAGACAAUCUAUACACACAGCAUGAACAAAGCAUGAACAAAGAGUGGGUUAGGUAGAUUUAAACAUGCAGACGGUGACACAAAAGAUCUUUUUCUUUUCUUUCAAGCUGCUUUAGGAAUGAAACCCUCCGAAAUAUUUCACCCUGCAGUCUGAGGAUAUGAGACUCAAUCAAACAUUAUGUGACCUAGCAGGAAAAGUCAUUUUAACCUAUUCAACCCUUAUUAAACACAAUCUGAUCUGUGUGUCUCUGUCUAUUUGAGUCAAUCAGCUUGAUGACCUCAAACUCUCUCUCAUUCUAAUUUACCUGCAAGAACACACGCUCACACAAAGCAAGUUCAUCUAGGAAACACAAAGCCAUGUAAGGCAAAGGGUAUCAAAAACGCUAGUGCAUGUGUUAGUACAUCCUCAGUGCAGCCUUUUAGGCCUCGUAGCUCAAAUGGCAAUGCUUCAGAUGUGAUGGGCUAUUUAGUCAAAUGCAUCUAAAACUCAUGGUUCUUGUAAUUUAGCCUGUGGUUAUUUAUUCACUGUUGUUAGCUUACUUCAGCUGUUGGUGCUUCUAACCUAUAUUCCAGUUUCCUCCUAAAGCAGCAUCACAAAGUCAGACGACCAAGUCACACCCAGUCUCCAUCUAGCGUCAAAGCGAUCACAGAGCCUGUCACCAAGGUAACAGUAAAAGAUCUAGUCUUCAUGACUGCAGUUAAGUCCAAUUGGUUCAGGUAGGCUAUAGACAAGUGAUGCAAUGGAUCAGUGGUGGUCCCUUGGGUUGUCAAAAGUAUAGAUACUUUAAAAAGUAUCAAUACUUAUACGCUGUAUCCGGAUACGAUACUAAUUCGCCAUGGUAUCGAUACCACGGUGCGCGUGCCCGCAGUGCCCACCGAGCGCACUCAGCAAGCAGGGCAGCCUACCCGGCAGACAGUGUCCACCCAGCAGACCGGCAGGCGCAAGAGCCCCCGCUUGCUGUCCCAUGUUUUAUUGCUGUUAAGUGUGGCCAGUGUUUCAGAGUGGUGGAGACAAAGUCAAGUAGCAUGACUAAUUUGGUAAAACACCUUAAGGACCGGCAUCCUGGCCUUCAUGACAAAUUCUGGCAGGUUAGUAAAGUUCAUCCAUUACCUUAAUGUGUUCAACUGAUUAAUGAUGUUAGUCUGACCGGUGGCCAGCAUUAAUCUGCAGAAGCCGCGGUUAGUUUUAUCCUCAGUGAAUGUUGGUUGUUUUGUGAUUAGCUGUGGCUAGAGCUCCACUGUAGUCCGCGGUAGCCGCAUUUAGCUUUAUGUUCAGUGAAUGUUGUUUAUUUUGUUAUGGGCCAUUAGCCAUGGGCCCGCAGCUAGUGGCCUUUAGCUCGCUACCGUGACUCAAACACGUUUUCUUCUCUUAAAGUUGCAGACUAAAGCAGGGAGAAGUUGACCUGCAACUAAACCGAGAAACCACAGCCUACUCUUCCACUGCUAUUUUAAAAAACAGAGAAAGUAUGACGCAAAGGCUCCUGAAGCUGUCAAAAUAAACAGAGCUGUAGCAGAGUAUAUCUGUGAGGACCAACUACCCAUUUACACAGUGAAGAAACCUGGGUUCCAAAAGAAAAAGUGACUGUCUCAUUUUUUAUUUUUUUAAUAUUUUUUUUUAUUUCCGAUUAUUUAAUACUUUUAUUUAAUUGAUUGUUUAUCUGCCAUUCUGUUUUUCAUGUUAACACAAAUAUUUUUUAUGCCUUAAAAGUAUUUAUCAUUUUUUAUCCCCACGGUAUUGAAAAUGGUAUCGAGUACUUUCCUGGGUAUCAAUAUUGAGUUUAAAAUUUUAGUAUCUUGACAACCCUAGUGGUCCCUGACUACCUUAAACAGUUUGGCAAGUUUUGACCACCUUGUACUAUUCCUGGGAGUACUCACCACUACUAACCAAUAUGAGCAUGAGAAAGAUGCCUGUCUGUCUGCGUCCUACUCAUGCUUACUCUGAAUGUCUCAGAGAGAAGAGGGCUACCAUUUGCAAAACAAGAACAAUUCUAUUUUGCUGCACAUAAAAGAGUCAUCAUUACAGGCCCCAAAUGUGGAAACACUGAUGGCAGCGAUAUGAUGCCUCUACAGUCUGCAGAUACGUUUGUCCAGUAUUCAGUGCAGACGGAAUGGAUCACUAUGGAUGAAGAAAUAAAAUGAAUGGCUUCACUAAUCACUGUUAAAAUCAUACAAUGUUGGUUGUCUAUUUUUUAGAUGCUAUAUUUGCAGUUAGAUCUGUGACAAUAACUCUGCACAGUUUAAGUCCCAAAAUGUGUACCAAGUGGGAAAAGAAAAACAUCUGAAAGCUAGCAUGCACAUAAAUGCGUCAUGUUCACUGGUGUAAAUUAUGUACACCAGGGCAGCUGAUACCUGUUUAAAACAAGUGACUCACUUGUGUUGAGCGUACGUUUCUUCAUAAUUCAAUAUAAAAGUAACAUCAAACAAUCAACAAAUGACUUGAUCUUAGAUGAAUGGCGAUUCACUUAAAUUAUUGUGCCUUGAAAUGCACGAUGAGAAUUGUAGUUCAGCGAGAAGGGGAAAAGUUUGAUAAACGCUUCUUUUUUGGCGCAGCUGACCCAAAUUAAACCAUGUCCCUGGAUCUGUGAACCACUUCGCCCUAACAAAUUUCCUUUGUGAACUUUUAGUUGCCAUGACAGCCAAACAACUGUGAUUUGUAUUUCUAAUAAUUGUUUUAGUUACCAGCCUACAUUUGCUGAUGGCGUUAACUGUUGUUAGUGCAGGAAGAUUACUUCAGCCCUCAACCUUAGUUGCAACCCUCUUUCUGGAGGCACAUUAUCAAAGGAACAUAAACAGACAAAGGCACAUCAGUUUUCCAAUCCUUGACCUGAGAAACUGCAGAGACAUAACUUCGCUUUGAACAUUUCUCUUUGUCACUGCUUCAGUUCUUGCAACAGACAACAGAGUAUCCACUUAGUUCUAUUGGUAAGAGUAUACCUGGGUGAUAUUGGUAUCACUGAGUAUCAGCACCAACAUCAAGAGUGAUAGUGGUAAUAAUAAAAUCCAAAUGAUACCCUGCUCCACCUGUGUGCUUGUUUACACUCAGCACUCACACAGAAAGACACACACUGGUCCCUGGGAUCAAUUUCAAUUUUCAAGUUAGGGAACAAACCAGAAGACAGCCUUUCAUCCCUUCAGCCUCUUCCUCUACGCUGCCCACUUCACUCCAUUGAUCUCCACCAAUCUCUUCUGUCUUGGUUUCCCGUCUCCCUCUCCUUCAAUACUCCUCUGUCUGUUUUCUGUCCAUCUCUCAUCCUUCCUCUUCACUGCCUUGAUUCUUUGUAGACCUCUAACUCUGACUAUGUCUGUUUUCUCCUGAGGUUGCUUCCCCUGUUGCUCCUGUGUGUUUUGUCUCUAUCAUACACACACACACCUCAUUAAAUAGAGUUAAUUUCUAGCUCUUGAAAAGCUAUUGACCUGCUGCAGAGGUUGCACUCAUUGUCAACCUUUAUUGAGCGGGGCACAUCUGUAUGCCUGUCUGUCUGUUAGAUCAUCUGCCAGUCUAUCCUUCUGCAUGUCUGUCUAACAUGUGUGUGCAUUAGAGAAGAGUUGAUUUUUUAUUUUUUUUUUUGAAGUGUUUUAACUUCUUGGAAGAUAAUUGGUGGGAUAAACUGUCACAGCUGUAAUUAUUUUACUCUGCAAAACCUUUAGCUUACCUUUAAGGCAGCAUGUCGCCUCCCUUGUGCUAAAAAACCCUUCAAACAAGAUCCUGUGAUCAGGAUAUACUUUAUAAAUAAGUAUAAAUAUACUUUACUUUGUAUACUAAAAAAAAGUCCAGUCCAUACUCUAUUUACAAAGACCCAAUGUAAAGACGGCAUAAGAUUGAGCCCCAUCUUUUAGGAUCAGAUUCAUUCCUGUCCCAUCUUCAACCACUAGUGGAACACUUUGCAGCAUUUAUCAAGUUACAGUGGAGAGGAAAAACUUCCUUUAACUGGCAGAACCAGACUCAUGUAAGACAGUCAUUUGCCAUCACUGCAUUGGUUUUAGAGAGGGGGAUAUAGAGAGAUGCAUAAAGAUUAUUAUAUGACAGUUAUCAGCAGUGCCUCUGAUGGAUAUUGACAGAAGAUAAGACAUAGUGAAGUAAGAGGGUGUUGUGGGACAUGCAGGUGUGUUUAUAGUGAGAGGAAAGCUGCAGGUAUGUGGUAGCAUAACUGAGAUAGAACCAAUUAAAUUAAAACCUAACCUAAUACUGAUGAUAGAACUACUGAUAACAACAAUAUCAUUAUCACUAACAGCAUCUAAUGUGCAUAUGAAACAUCUUCACACGAAACAAGAGUGAGGGUACUAGGCUACAGUACAAGACCUAAAUGCUAUUUUGUUGUUAUCACAAGCAAAAUCCUCAAAACUGUUGUCAUAUAUUUUUAGUCAAUAUCACAUAUUGGCUGGUCUGGAUGUAUUCAGAUUCCACAUGAGCAGUAAAAUGCUCUCCAUAAAGGGGGAAUCUUCAGGUUAGUUUCUACUUUAAAAGGUGUUAUAUUUAGCAGUGGCAUUUCACGCCUAGGCCUUCAGUGCCGUUUCACUUAGUCCUGCCUAAAUUAAUACUCUUCAUAGUACCAUCAAUAUAACACCAUGGCUCGAGAAUCCAUCAGAAUCAUACUUUCACAUAACAUCACCUUAACAUCUAAUCCAGCAACACUUCAUUUCCAGAGCAUUUAAAACCAAUAAGCACACAUUCACAGUUAAGAGUAGGAAACUAAGACCACAGAUACUGUCAAAACUCAAUAAUAAAAGGAGAUAUUAAGACAUAAGUCAACAAAAGGCCACCAAAAGCUCAAACGAGUUUGCGCAAUAAAUUGCGCGUUGUCACCAUUGAAAAAUAUAAAGCUUGCACUCACCACCACAGAUCUCCUGCACAGCGCCUGUUUUUCUGAAAAUAAAGUCCAUCCUCCAUCCUUCUUCUCCCAAGAAGACUUCAUUGCUCUGUUGAAAAGUUAUCCGUGCGUUUCAGAUCCACCAAUAAGUCUUUUUCCAUACUGAAAGCCGUGUCUGUCCGGUCGUGUCUCUAUACUUUUAAAUGCAGCCAUAGCUGUCGGUCGCAAACCGAUCUUUGGGUUUAGUUCGACAUUUUGUAAAGUACCGCCUUUCAGGUUCUCACGAGUAAUUAUCCAAUCACAGGACGCGUACAUGUCCCGUUUAGCGUACCUUUAAGCUGGCUCGAGCUCUGAUUGGUUGUUGCAACUGACUGCGUCCAUUGAAGCGCACGCGAGCCUGCUCUGUUGAUUCUGACGGCCUUGGGCAGAUUUCAUUGCACCUGACAACUCAAGCUAGCUGAAAUAUGAUUGGAUAAAAAAUGAUAUCAUAAUAUACAACAUUGGAAGCAGCUCAACCAAGUGGAUAUACUAUGACAUAAAGAGAACAGACAAUAUAGAAUAAUUGCAUUUAAAUAUUUGUGAAAAAAAUAAAUAAAUGAAUAAACAAAUGUACUUUUCAGAGUAUGCGUAGGCCAGCAGAGAAGGCCUUCCUGGCCCUGGUACUUAGCAGCCUUUAGUUGAAUAGACAUGAUAGAAAUUAAACUAAUGUUCAUAAGUUUGUAAAACCUGGUGAAAUAAUAACCUAAAUAUGAAAUUCUUUUUGUUUUUGUUAUUUUUAUUUAUGUUUACAUAAGAGGCCAUUCUCCUUCCAUUAAGGCCACCAAUUUUCACCACCAUGUUUCUAGUUGCUCCAUAUGGACAAACCAGGAACAGCUACAAGUAUUUCUUCUGAUUUAGUAAGCAGCUAUCUAAAGUGUAUGACAGAGUGGGGUAAGAUGAGCCAUUUUUCAUAUUUCGGAUCACUUCAUCAAGUUAAUCAUAGUUUUGUCUCUAACUAGUGUAUCUGCAUAUAUUUUAAGAUGUUGUGCAUCCCUGCAAACCAACAGAAUGAGUGUAAACAUAACUGUCUUGAUAAAAUAGCAUGCCAAAAAAGUGGUCUCCUAUGGUCAACUUACCCCAUACACGGGGUAAGUUGAUCAUAGGAGCAGGGUAAGUUGAGCUGUAUCCCCACUCCCCACCCCCCACUCUCCACUUUAGCCCUCCCUCCCCCUUAUCAUUUACUGUUGCUUCAUGUGUGUCACCAAAGACAGGAAUGAGCUGAUUGGCAGUCAUCAUCCACAUAAGGCAUCAUGGUAUAGUGAGGUAGAGUGACAAAAGCUUUCAACAAAGAAAGGAACAAAUAAUCCCUCUGAGUAUUGAAUUUGUUGUUAAGGAUUUACUGUAUUGAGUUUCCCCAGAGACUCUGUGGUUUGCAGCCUGAUUUAGGAAGCUCACUAAAGACAACCUUAUGAAAAAGGCAAAGCAGUCUGCAUUAUAACAGG